GUGAUAGAGAGGAUGGUCAACCAUAAGGUGGAUGGAGAGGAAGUGGCUAGAAAAAAUUAAGGGUGCCUCUGCAGACAGUUACAUCAUAAUCCUGUGAGUUGUUAGUGGCAUCUGGCACAGGUGGUCCUUUACUGUUGACCGUGAAUCCUAAAAGGCUGAAGCUAUCCACUACUUCAUUCUCUUCAUUAUCAAGAAGACAACAGGACUACAUGGAGGAGACUUCUGCUCUUUCAAGGACUGCUUGUGUGAGUGCAACUCUCUUUCCAUUCCCAGAAGGUGCUUCCCGCAAUGCAGUACCAAUGCUCAAAAUGCUUCAUGCAAGUAAUACCCAAUGAUGCAGAAAAAGGAGAUGACUGUGUGCAAAAUGGCCAAAAUACGGAGUGUAGGUUCCAUGUAGCCACUGCUUUCUUCAAGGACAUAGUGCACUGUGAUGAUUCUGUGAGAAGUACUUUCCAGGCUGCUUAACUUGGAGCUUUCAACAGUAUUCACCACAACAGCCUCCUUUUCUUCAGCCACUGCAGAUGUGGAGACCUGUUGGAGUAAUGUGAGCUAACAUAACUACCACUGCCUGUAACGAGAGCGUUCCAAGAUUUCUGACGUUACAGAGUGAAUAUGUAUUGUGAAGAGAGACGAGACUAUCUUUUACAACUGGAGAUGAGAGGAAUUAUCUUACAUCUCUAAUGAAAAUGAAUGUGGGGUACAUUCAGGACAGAUAAAAGGAAGUACCUUAUAGAAGAGUAGAAUGAAGUUGAUAGCAAAUGCGACAAACAAAGCCAGCAUCCGCAUGUUGUAGAAAUUCCGAGCAAAAUAGUUCUGAAAAACAAAAUAGUGCAUGCCAAACAACAUUACUAUAUCUUGAUAAUUUAAGUUCAGUUAAUCUACAGAAUACUAUCCUGAAUGAAUCAAGUUAUGAAUCAGGUAAAACAUGCCCAAAUUUUGGAUGACUGUGUAAACCAUGUUGUGCAUUCCCUAAGGCUUUUAGUAGCGGCAAGUGUAACAUGUACACAUCAAAAGCACUUAGACUUGGGGUCAUACAAACUACACAUUACAUGAACAUAGAGAAUUGGAAGGCGGAAGGGAUGCUUAGCCCGUCGCAAUUAGAAAUCACAUUUGUGUGUUUGCCAAAUACACAUGUAAGAUCCUAAGGGUGCGGGGGUGGGUGGGGAGGAAGCUGUAUACUUGGAGUGGGAAAAUAGCAAGCAGAAAAAGAAGUGUCUGCUUCUUCUCUGCUCCCAAUAGUGUCCUCUCAAAGUAAUGUUUUGGGAUGAGACAAAGCACAGGAGUUUGUUGUUGGAGUGUACACACACACACAUCACACACACACACUUUAUCACCUCUUGAAAUGUCUGCUGGAAGGGAGCAAGAGAGGCACCAGCCAGCAUAAAACUGCCAGCUGGGGCUGCACAACACUCUCCGAGACACCAGCAGGGGAAAGAGGGGUGGUGACUCCACACUGGGCUUCUGACUUGGGAGAGCUGAACUGGUAGCUGGGGCAGGACUCACAAGGGGGAAAGGGGCAGAGGUGGCUGUCAUGAAAGUAAAGGUGAGGCAGAGCCAGCAAGGUGAUGCGGGGGGAGGUUUAGACCUCACUUGGCCUCAUGGACAAGUCGCUCCAUGAGAAAGAGACUCUAGCCUAUGGAGACAUAUGCCACAAAACAUUAUUUGGUCUUCAACAUGUCACAUGACUCCUACUUUUUGAAAAACCUGUUUGGGCUUCACUUUUCUAAUAAAA